UUGACUUUGGAGGCGAAGCUGUGCUUUAAGUGCUAGACGGGUGAGGUUAUAAGCUGUCUUGUGAUCUUGUGAUCUUCUCCAUUUAUGUACCCCUUUUAUAAUAUCAUAUUGUCUGCCUAUUUAUCUGACUUUUGAACUCUGGACCCUCAGCUCAGUUGUGAUGGCCGUUUUAUGACAGUUUGCGAUGUCACGGUAUAGAUCUAGUCCGAACGCUGACGUGUGUUUACCAAAGUAACCUGUCCAGUACAGUACCACCUAUAGAAGUUAGAGUUAGAUGGAUAGAUGUAGUCUCUGACUAUUGACUCGAUCUGUGAAGGAUACAACUCCACAGUUCUCCAAACCUGGAGGAAAUCAAGAAGAAGGAGAAAAAGGUUCAAGAAUAAAACUCCGAUAAUCUUCACUGACAGCAGGAACAUGGAUGAGAAGAAGAAAUCAAAGAGUAAACGGCGCUGGUUUAUCCUCCUUGGGGCUCACAUAUCUAUGCUGGUGUAUGGAGCGACCUACCGAUCCUUUGGUGUAUUUCUGGUUGAAUGGAGGAGGUACUUUGACUCCUCUGUAGCUGAGAUCAGUAUCAUCAUGAGUGUUCUCUCAGGAUCUGUCAUCCUUUCAGGAUUCUGUUCUGGUCCAUUCAUGAAGAGAUGGGGAUGUCACAACACACUUCUCAUUGGUGUAGCCUGUUCUAUCACUGGUACUAUAACCAGUGUCUUUGCUGAUUCACCGAUCGUCCUGUGUUUUACGUCAGGGAUUCUCCCAGGUUUUGGAGUGGGGCUCAUUAAGAAUGCAGCUCAGGUGCUGGUGGCCUUCCACUUCAAGAAGGGUUAUUCUCGCGCCAAUGGCUUCAUCAGUGCUGGAGUUGCCUUAGGAAUCAUGACUGUACCCCCUCUCCUGCAGCUAUGCAUUGACGUGUAUGGUUGGAGGGGUGCCCUCCUCAUCUCGGCCGGUAUACAGGCUCAGGUGAUUCCAUCUGCUUUGGUAGCAAGACCACGUCCUAAAAAGAAGCCUGUUCUUUCUACUAAGACAAGACAUGAGAAGCUUGUAGCAGAUAUUGAAGAUGGUGCAGCAGAAAUGGAACUGCUUGAUAAGACUUUAGAAAUUAAAAAUCAGUCUUCUCAUGCAGAUGAAAAUGAGGAGAGUGAAUCUACAGGAUGUGUUCAGAAUGAUAAAACAGUGGUUGAGGCAUCAGAAGAGAUCCAGAGUGAUCCUGAUGAAAAUAGGCUUCAAAUAGAGAACAAGGUUACUACUGACGAUGCAAGGACUCAUGAAGAUUGUGCUGCUGAAGUGCAUACUACCUCAUCAGGAACUGACUCAAAGUCUGUUCCAAGCAUCCUUGAGCCUAAAUCAAAACCUGUUCCAUUGGAUGAUACGUUAAAUGGCGAUAUCAACAGCAUGGAGGUACAUACAGAUGAGACAACCAUACAGAACAAUAGAACUAGUAAGUGCUCCUGGAUCAUUCAGUUCUUCAUGUCCUCUGGAUGGCCCCUCUUUCGGGAGAGCAUUGGUUUCACGCUCUUCCAGACCUGCCAGAUUACUAUUGGUUUGUGCUAUACUGCUAUUAUGACUCACUUUGUGGCCAGUGCUGUAUACUCUGGGAUCGAUGAGCAGCUGGCCUCGUUCCUCCUCUCUGCUCUGGGCAUAGGGAGCCUGAUCGCUCGGCUCUCCAACGGGUGGGUCAUUGAUCUAAAGCUCAUAGCUCCAGAACACCUGUAUGCCCUAGCCAUGGCCAUCCUUGGAGUCAGCACUAUCCUCAGUCGGGCAUCACAGGCUUAUGGCUGGUACGUAUUUAUUGCCUUUCUCUUUGGAGCCUCAAGUGGACUAUUGAAAUGUCUUGUUCCUGUGGUCCUGAGGAAAUUUGUAGGAGUAGAGAAUCUCGCCCCUGCCAUGGGGAUAUUUACUAUCUUUACUGGAGUAGGGGACUUCAUUGGACCUAUCUUUGCAGGUGCUCUUUAUGAUGCAAAGGAAUCGUACAACCUGCCGUUCUUUGUAGCUGGCUCCCUUCUUGCCGUGUCCUCAUGUAUUCUGUUGCUUGAGCGCCCUCUCAGGCGAUGCAAGGACAGGUACCAAGGUUUGAAGUCACAUGAAAUAGAAGCGCAAAAUGAGUCAGUAGUGUGAUAUAUAGGUGCAUGUUGUGAAGAUUCGAUUUGAAGAUUUCUCCCCCUUAAUCCCCCAUCCCAUAUCCAAAUGCUGCAUGUUCUGAUGUAGGCUACAACCUGAGUGAUGUGCAUAUUUUGAAAGAGGGCAGGUCAUUAGGUAUCCUGAUGAAUAGCGGUUCUUAUGGAUAGUGAGCGGAUCCCUGUUAGACCCUUGUCACUUGUUAUCCAUACAGCACCAAGUAUUGUAGAGCUCUGAUCAUGAAUUGACAUCAAAUGUGUUCUAAAGCCAGUGUGUCGUCAGUUUCCAUAUAUGCAGAAGUUCAUAAUUCACUGACACCAUACUUGCAUACCUGCCAACCCUUCUGAAAAAUCCGGAAUAUUCUGAUUUUCUGGAUUUUUAAAGAUGAAGUUGAGUUCUGGUCAUGCGAUUGAAUUGUGAAAG